GACACGAGUGUUACAACAGACCAUUGAUAAUUGCUAAUAACUAAGUAUUUUACAAUUUCUAUUUCGCCAUAGUCAGCAAAAGAAAAUACACUCACGUGGCAGACCGAUCAUCUUAACGAACGGACAACGAAACGUAAACUGACUGCAACAUGUUGCCAAAAAUGUUAAGUACAUUUAACAGGUAGCUGCUGUUUGCACAGGUACCGUUUGCAAAGUAAACAACAACAAUAAUAAGGGUAGGCUACCAACUUUUCGCCUUGCUGACUCACGGCACGUAGGCAACAGAGUUUUGUGUUCUCUUUCACUCUCUCUCUUUCUCCUUGAAGAGAAUGUCAGUGUGUGUGUGUGUGACGAGUGCAUCGUGCGCAGCUGUUAAACCCUGAGCCGAGUCUGUGAAGCGUACAGCCCAAUGAACCGCCCGCCUUUUGUUGACUACUUUUCUUUAUACAUAGGUAUUGGUAUUGGGCUCAGAGAUUUGCUUACGUUUAUCAAAGAGACAUAUGUAUGUACAUAUUAUAAUUAUAAUAUAUAGCAAACACACAAACAAUCGCACUCACACGUUUUUGAUAAUGAACCCGACGAAGCAGCGUCGUCAGCUAGGCUAAAGUCGCAAUUUCUGGACUAUGCGAAAAAGCAAGAACAAAAAAGGCAAAUGCCCUCCUACAAUUGCCUUUAAAUCGACUUUACCAACCAACACACUGAUAUACAAAUAAAUAAUAACAAGUAGCAAGUACAGUAAAGUCGAAAUAAGCUGAUGGAUGUGACGUCAAUUUGGCGAAAAAAGAUAAAUACACACAUACAAAUGCAAAUGUAGAACGAAAAUGUAAAGUGCAAGUGCAAAUCAAAUGCGGGGAACACGUAUGAAUGGAGGAAUAUUGCGUUGCUGCUGUCUCCUUUGCUCUUUAUUUGAUGUUAUUAAUUCGCCUUUGUCUGCGGCGAAGUUGGCAGUCUUUGUUGCUGUUGCUGUCGCUGUCAUCGCUCUGACAACGGCUGCUGCGUAAGAGAGAGAAAUACAUAUGCAUGUGUCUGUGUAUGUAAACAAAACAAGACGGAAUGGAGCCUUGAAAUCGUAUAUGGUUAAGUGCAACGGAGAUGUGGAUAUAAUUACGGACACAUACAUAAAUACGUGCAUACGUGCACACAACAACAAACAAAAUCAAAACCCAACAUCUAUUUUUAACUAGACACAAACAAUAACAAUAAUAACAACAACAAUACCACGUCAAGCCCGAGCUCGUGUGCAUUGUUAUUAUUAUUGACAAAUACCCACACAUAUACACAUACACCAACUCGUUCGGAUAGUAUACGUGCGUGUGUAUGUGUGUGUGGUGAGCGCGAUCGCAAACUUACCACCCAGCAAAUCUUCUGUCGAUUUUGGUGUCGUAGACAUUUUGUUUUUGCUCUCUGUGAUGUUUUUGUUGUUGUGUAUGUUAUUAUGGUACGAUACGAUUCGGUUAGAAAUUCUUUUAUUGUUGUGUUAUUCUUGUACUAAACACGUCGUCUAAAGAUAACUCGUUUGUUGUUAUUGCGGUGUACGAAUAAAUUUACGUUGAUUAAACUAAACUUUUUGCCACAGCGGCCCUUUUAUUGCACAUAUGCCGAGUGUAUCUAAGUAUGAGUGUGUGUCUGUGUGUUCGGUUCAAAUGUAUGCGUGAGAAUAUGCGUUUUACUUUUUGCAGUUCCUGUUCCCGUCUGCACUGGUUGCUUUAUUUAUGUUGUAUUUGGCUAGCUGCUGUCGUUUUUGCUCUAGUUUUCUUUAGCUCAAUUAGUAAUGGGUAUUUUGAUUCAACUCAAGUGUAGUAUAAUACACAAUUUUCUUUCUUUUA